rnacentral:rRNA from 1 species
CAAUAGCGUAUAUUAAAGUUGUUGCAGUUAAAGCUCGUAGUUGGAUUUCGGAAUGGGCCGAGUCGGUCCACCGCAAGGUGUGUUACUGACUGGUUUGUUCUUCUUCGCAAAGACUGCGUGUGCACUUUACUGUGUGUGCGUAGGAUUUACGACGUUUACUUUGAAAAUUAGAGUGUUCAAAGCAGGCUAUCGCUUGAAUACAUGAGCAUGGAAUAAUGGAAUAGGACUUUGGUCCUAUUUUGUUGGUUUCUAGGACCGAAGUAAUGAUUAAGAGGGACAAUUGGGGCGGAUCCGUAUUUCGUUGUCAGAGGUGAAAUUCUUGGAUUUACGAAAGACGAACAACUGCGAAAGCACUUGCCAAGAGUGUUUUCAUUAAUCAAGAACGAAAGUUAGAGGAUCGAAGAUGAUUAGAU